rnacentral:misc_RNA from 1 species
GAUGAAGAACGCAGCGAAAUGCGAUAAGUAAUGUGAAUUGCAGAAUUCAGUGAAUCAUCGAAUCUUUGAACGCUCAUUGCGCCCCCUGGUAUUCCGGGGGGCAUGCCUGUUCGAGCGUCAUUUCACCACUCAAGCCUCGCUUGGUAUUGGGCAACGCGGUCCGCCGCGUGCCUCAAAUCGACCGGCUGGGUCUUCUGUCCCCUAAGCGUUGUGGAAACUAUUCGCUAAAGGGUGUUCGGGAGGCUACGCCGUAAAACAACCCCAUUUCUAAGGUUGACCUCGGAUCAGGUAGGGAUACCCGCUGAACUUAAGCAUAUCAAUAAGCGGAGGA